rnacentral:rRNA from 1 species
UACAGAGACUGCAAGCGUUAUUCGGAUUCACUGGGCGUAAAGGGCGCGUAGGCGGUGCCACAAGUCACCUGUGAAAUCUCCGGGCUUAACUCGGAGCCUGCAGGCGAAACUGUGGUGCUGGAGUGUGGGAGAGGUGCGUGGAAUUCCCGGUGUAGCGGUAGAAAUGCGUAGAUAUCGGAGGAACACCUGUGGCGAAAGCGGCGCACUGGACCAUAACUGACGCUGAUGCGCGAAAGCUAGGGAGCAACAGG